GAUGAACGCUGGCGGCGUGCCUAAUACAUGCCAGUCGAGCGAACAGACGAGGAGCUUGCUCCUCUGACGUUGGCGGCGGACGGGUGAGUAACACGUGGAUAACCUACCUAUAAGACUGGGAUAACUUCGGGAAACCGGAGCUAAUACCGGAUAAUAUAUUGAACCGCAUGGUUCAAUAGUGAAAGACGGUUUUGCUGUCACUUAUAGAUGGAUCCGCGCCGCAUUAGCUAGUUGGUAAGGUAACGGCUUACCAAGGCAACGAUGCGUAGCCGACCUGAGAGGGUGAUCGGCCACACUGGAACUGAGACACGGUCCAGACUCCUACGGGAGGCAGCAGUAGGGAAUCUUCCGCAAUGGGCGAAAGCCUGACGGAGCAACGCCGCGUGAGUGAUGAAGGUCUUCGGAUCGUAAAACUCUGUUAUUAGGGAAGAACAAAUGUGUAAGCAACUAUGCACGUCUUGACGGUACCUAAUCAGAAAGCCACGGCUAACUACGUG
rnacentral:rRNA from 1 species